UACGUAGGGGGGCAAGCGUUGUCCGGAUUUAUUGGGCGUAAAGAGCGUGUAGGCGGCCAGACAGGUCAGCUGUGAAAACUCGAGGCUCAACCUCGAGACGUCGGUUGAAACCGUCUGGCUAGAGUCCGGAAGAGGAGAGUGGAAUUCCCGGUGAUCGCGGUGAAAUGCGCAGAUAUCGGGAAGAACACCCGGUGGCGAAGGCGGCUCUCUGGGACGGUACUGACGCUGAGACGCGAAAGCGUGGGGAGCGAACAGG
rnacentral:rRNA from 1 species